rnacentral:rRNA from 1 species
GAGGAAUAUUGGUCAAUGGACGAGAGUCUGAACCAGCCAAGUAGCGUGAAGGAUGACUGCCCUAUGGGUUGUAAACUUCUUUUAUACGGGAAUAAAGUGAGGCACGUGUGCCUUUUUGUAUGUACCGUAUGAAUAAGGAUCGGCUAACUCCGUGCCAGCAGCCGCGGUAAUACGGAGGAUCCGAGCGUUAUCCGGAUUUAUUGGGUUUAAAGGGAGCGUAGGCGGACGCUUAAGUCAGUUGUGAAAGUUUGCGGCUCAACCGUAAAAUUGCAGUUGAUACUGGGUGUCUUGAGUACAGUAGAGGCAGGCGGAAUUCGUGGUGUAGCGGUGAAAUGCUUAGAUAUCACGAAGAACUCCGAUUGCGAAGGCAGCUUGCUGGACUGUAACUGACGCUGAUGCUCGAAAGUGUGGGUAUCAAACAGGAUUAGAUACCCUGGUAGUCCACACAGUAAACGAUGAAUACUCGCUGUUUGCGAUAUACAGUAAGCGGCCAAGCGAAAGCGUUAAGUAUUCCACCUGGGGAGUACGCCGGCAACGGUGAAACUCAAAGGAAUUGACGGGGGCCCGCACAAGCGGAGGAACAUGUGGUUUAAUUCGAUGAUACGCGAGGAACCUUACCCGGGCUUAAAUUGCAACUGACUGAACCGGAAACGGUUCUUUCUUCGGACAGUUGUGAAGGUGCUGCAUGGUUGUCGUCAGCUCGUGCCGUGAGGUGUCGGCUUAAGUGCCAUAACGAGCGCAACCCUUAUCGAUAGUUACUAGCAGGUCAUGCUGAGGACUCUAUUGAGACUGCCGUCGUAAGAUGUGAGGAAGGUGGGGAUGACGUCAAAUCAGCACGGCCCUUACGUCCGGGGCUACACACGUGUUACAAUGGGGGGUACAGAAGGCAGCUACACGGCGACGUGGUGCUAAUCCCGAAAGCCUCUCUCAGUUCGGAUUGGAGUCUGCAACCCGACUCCAUGAAGCUGGAUUCGCUAGUAAUCGCGCAUCAGCCACGGCGCGGUGAAUACGUUCCCG